CUCAGGAUGAACGCUGGCGGCGUGCCUAACACAUGCAAGUCGAACGGAAAGUAAGCGCUUCGGAGACUUCGGUCAAUGUUGCUUGCUUUAGUGGCGGACGGGUGAGUAACGCGUGGAUAACCUGCCAUAUACAGGGGGAUAACAGUUAGAAAUGACUGCUAAUACCGCAUAAGCGCACGGAAACGCAUGUUUCAGUGUGAAAAAACUCCGGUGGUAUAUGAUGGAUCCGCGUCUGAUUAGCCAGUUGGCGGGGUAACGGCCCACCAAAGCGACGAUCAGUAGCCGGCCUGAGAGGGUGAACGGCCACAUUGGGACUGAGACACGGCCCAAACUCCUACGGGAGGCAGCAGUGGGGGAUAUUGCACAAUGGGGGAAACCCUGAUGCAAGCGACGCCGCGUGAGUGAAGAAGUAUUUCGGUAUGUAAAGCUCUAUCAGCAGGGAAGAUAAUGACGGUACCUGACUAAGAAGCACCGGCUAAAUACGUGCCAGCCGCGGC
rnacentral:rRNA from 1 species